UUGUAAUUUGUAGAGGAUGCUUUUGGUGCGGUGCCGCCCGAGUUCCCUGGAACGGGACGCCAUAGAGGGUGAGAGCCCCGUCUGGCUGGCCACCAAGCCUCUGUAAAGCUCCUUCGACGAGUCGAGUAGUUUGGGAAUGCUGCUCUAAAUGGGAGGUAUAUGUCUUCUAAAGCUAAAUAUUGGCCAGAGACCGAUAGCGCACAAGUAGAGUGAUCGAAAGAUGAAAAGCACUUUGAAAAGAGGGUUAAAUAGUACGUGAAAUUGUUGAAAGGGAAGCGCUCAUGACCAGACUUGGGCUUGGCGAAUCAUCCAGCGUUCUCGCUGGUGCACUUUGCCUUGCCCAGGCCAGCAUCAGUUCGCUGCGGGGGAUAAAGGUUUCGGGAACGUGGCUCCUCCGGGAGUGUUAUAGCCCGUUGCGUAAUACCCUGCGGUGGACUGAGGUUCGCGCAUCUGCAAGGAUGCUGGCGUAAUGGUCAUCA
rnacentral:rRNA from 1 species